AUAUAAUUAUUAAUUACAUCCUUGAUUAAUAAAUAAUAAGUUUCGGUUUUAUUUAAUUUCUGUUCGGGUAGUUUGACACGUCACUUCACCUUCCCGCGAGACGAAGCCCUAACUUCCCACGCUCUGUUUUAGCGUUUUUCACGUUCUUUCAUUUUUUGACAUUGAGAAGAAAACGGCGCGAAGCAAAUGUCGCGUCGUGAAAUUCGGGAAUCCGACUCCAAUCGCCAUCGUUCCAGAUUCGAUGGAGAACCCAGUCCCAAGAGGUCAAGGAGGGACAGGGAAACAUUAGAGAGAAGUUAUCUAGAAACUCUAGUUCUCAUGUUGAAGAUAAUAAAGAUCGGGAUCAGAAACAUGGGCUUCAACAUGAGGGGCAAGAUAUGAUACCCCAUGAGUGUUCAUCAGCACUUGAUUCUAAGCCAGAAUAUGGGGUUAGCAAAGGAGUAAACAGGAACAGUGAUAGGAGGGAUGGAGGGACUAAACAUUCAAUGAAUCCCACUGAAGUACCACGAUCAAGAUCUUAUUUUCAGGGAGACUGCUGCAAAAUAUGGGCAUAAAAAUUACCUGACUUGGUCUUCUUCGAGAUAUCGUUGUGCCUUCCCGGAUAUAAAUGAACUAUUGUGGGGAUUUCCUAUGAAUUUCAUGAAAUUCAUGAUCUACAUUAUAUUUCAUUCAAAUAUGUUGGAUGCAAUACAAGUGUUCAUAAACCGCAGCCAAUGUCUUCUUGAAGUGAAAUGAGGGAUUUUUUUGAAGAGCCUGUUUAAAGUAGGCAUCUCAGCCAGAGCAUUUCCUUCCUUGAUAAAAUAAAGCCGUAGGAUAUGUUGUAACAUGCUUUUUGUUGGGUCAACAAAUGAAUACAUAUAUUUUUUGAGAUCUUUUAUUUUGAUAGCUAUGGAAUUUCAUCAUCCACAUUACUAAAACUAAAUAGCUUAUCUCAGUAAUAAUUCUCUCUUCUCUGUAUUUCUAUCUCCUUCCCCUGCUUUUCCCAUUCUUUGCUGCAAUUUAGAUUCCCCAACAUUUUGCUAACAUUUUGCUGGGCUGAUGUUAUUGGAAUCUUCUUCAUCCCUGUGCCUUCAAGUGCAUCCUUGUAUAUUACUUAGGCUUGCCUGCGCAUGUCUUAUAACAGCAUGUCAAACGUGGUAAUGAUGGGCAAGUUGGUCGAAGCUUUGGUCGGAGUGCAACUAGGGUUACACAAAGGACACGAUGUUUAGUCUACUCCUUGUAACUUUGAUCAAAGCUAUUGCGCAUGUAUUAUUGUUGUUGUUAUUGUUAUUUUGAAUC